rnacentral:rRNA from 1 species
UACGAACUGUGCGAACGUUAUUCGGAAUCACUGGGCUUAAAGGGUGCGUAGGCGGUUUUCUAAGUCACGUGUGAAAUCUUCCGGCUCAACCGGAAAACUGCGCGUGAAACUAGUGGACUGGAGUGAGGUAGGGGUGUGUGGAACUUCCGGUGGAGCGGUGAAAUGUGUAGAGAUCGGAAGGAACGCCAGCAGCGAAAGCGGCACACUGGGCCUUUUCUGACGCUGAGGCACGAAAGCUAGGGGAGUGAACGGG